ensembl:lncRNA
GGUUGUUAGCGCAUGCGCGGUAAAGAGCGUGCCGGCACCCACCACCCUGUCAGUCCCCAAGACUUAUUUUUUUUAUGAAUGAGAAUGGGCGGAGCUUCUCUUUCGCAAACAAUCUGCUUUUGUAGCCAACAGGGGGCGCGUUUAUAUUUAUAUAUAUGUUCUUCCUCCAUACUGAAGCCAAAACGCAGAAAGCGACGAAGAGGAAUCCAGAUGUUGCUGGGAACUUAUUUAGUUUAAUCAGACACAGAGGGUGUUUCCGGUUUCCGUGUUUACGCGUCCUGGGAUCUAAAGACACAGGAGCACGAGGCAGUGCUAAUCUGAUAUUAGCUUAGCAAAGACGAGCGGCUAGAUCAGGAGAAUUUUUAGGUGUCGCCAGAAAAAAAACACACAACAGCGGCUGACUGUAUAAUAAAAGCCGCUCGUGAGUUGAUGCAAAGGGUUUCCGUGUGUGUGUGUGUGUGUGUGAGAGAGAGUGAGUGAGUGAGAGAGAGAGAGAGAGCGAGAGCGAGCGCGCGCAUGCAAGGCACAGAGGCUCGCGUCUCCACUCCACCGUCACGCAACUUGGACAAAAUGCCAAGUUUGCUGUUAGUCCUGGAGCUCGCGCUGAGCGUGUGUUAAAUGUCUACACUUUUAAACGUGCUGCAGUUUUCCUCGGCUGAUGGUCGCUGACCACGACACCAGUCUAUAAUCCGCCUUUUCGCUUGUAAUUCCUCGACUGAUUAGAUACAGGAAGGUGUGUUUUUAUUGCUGGAAAGGGACCUGAAGGAUGGCUGCCACUUUAUCAGCAGAGGAAGAGCAGACUCACACUCACAGUACAGACUCUGCUGAACAUACCAAAGCUGAUGGGAUGUAUGAAGAGUUUAAAAAUAUCCCAGAUAUAUCCUUUUUCUGAUGGAUAUAACAAUACACUAAGCUAACGAUAAAGCACCGAUCCUCCUCGUCCUCCUCUGUAGUGCCCUUGUGUAGGGAGUAUUGAGCUGUUGGGGAUUCAGCCUCAGUUUCACACUGUUUAGGUCACAGAAGUGGUUUUGUUCAACCGGGGUGUACAAUGUAAAGAUUUCUUCUCCCCCUUGAGAAGUAUUGAAAUUACGAUAUUAAUAAUCCUGUGAUAAAAGUGGAAGCAUGUUCCUGUGGCAUUCUCAGUGAACGGGCAGUGCUGUAGCCUACUACACAGGGCCUGCAACAGGAAACGGCCCUUAUAUAAGCUGCCUGUUAUUUAUUUACACUGUUUCAGUUUAGUAGCUUAAUGUACAACACUGACUUUGUCAAGCUUCGUGC